ACCUGGUUGAUCCUGCCAGUAGUCAUAUGCUUGUCUCAAAGAUUAAGCCAUGCAAGUGUAAGUUCACGUCACGAUUAAGAACGGGCGAAACCGCGAAUGGCUCAGGAACCGGACCUAAUCCUCGGGACCGUAUUCCUCCACGGAGGGAAGUGGAUAACUGUGGUAAUUCUAGAGCUAAUACAUGCAACUAAAGUCUCGAUCUUCGUUCGGUUAGGUUUAGUUAAGUAAUGUGUUGAUUCUGAUUCGCUUCGUUUGCACGCACGUACGUAAAACUACUACACACACACACACGCGCCUACUUCUUUCGUUACGAUAGCGGUACAUUGUACCGCUUUUUGUUCGUUGUCGUCGUCGUUGUUGUUGUUGUUGUUGUUGUUGUUUGUCGUCGUCGUCUCCUUUGUGUUAUUAGUAUUGACUCUCUUGACUUUCUUCCGUACGACGCCUUUGAUCGCGGCGCAACAUAUUAGACUGAGACCGAUGCGUUUUGUUGGUCGUCGAAGUGACGCGAGUACGCACAGGCACGCACACGCCGUCACACGCGCUCACACGCGCCGUCACCAGCACGCACACACACAUACAUUUGUUUGUUGUGUAGUGUUGCUGUUGGUGAUGGUUGUUGUCGCGCGCGUUGCUUUGUCGACGUGUGUCGUCUUUAAGGUUCGCGUGCGCGCGUUCUCUUUUCGUCGCAUCCGACGCGCCCGCUUUUGGUGACUCUGGAUAACACAAUUGUCGAUCGCUAUGGGUCUUUUGUACCUGGCGACGGGUCCCCCGAGGGUCCGCCCUAUCAACUGUCGACGGUCGGAUAAUUGCCUACCGUGGUUACAACGGGUAACGGGGAAUCGGGGUUCGAUUCCGGAGAGGGAGCAUGCGAAACGGCUACCACAUCCAAGGAAGGCAGCAGGCGCGCAAAUUACCCACUCCCGGCACGGGGAGGUAGUGACGAAAAAUAACGACGCGGGACUCUGUCGAGGCCCCGCGAUCGGAAUGGGUACACUUCAAAUCGGUUAACGAGUAUCAACCGGAGGGCAAGUCUGGUGCCAGCAGCCGCGGUAAUUCCAGCUCCGGUAGCGUAUAUUAAACUUGUUGCGGUUAAAAAGCUCGUAGUCGGAACUCGGGUCUAAAAAAAAACGUAGUAAAAUACGUUCGGGGCGUCGGCACCGUCGUUCGAGUCCGAACUUCGGUUGGUUUUUUAUCCGUACGCACACCCGGCCCUAUCCGCCGGUACGGACGAAGGAAGGCCAUUCGCGGAAAGAAAUGUGUCUCGGUCUUUGAUUUUCUUUUUCUUGCCGUUUAUUAUUAUUAUUUUUUUUUGUUUUGUGUAUUUAUUUUUCCCCGUUUUAAUUUUGUUGUUGAAUUUCAAUGUUCGAAAAAUAUAUUUAAAGAUAUAUAUAUAUAUUUUGUUUGUGUUUUCUUUUGUGUAGUUUUUUAAUGCGACCAUCUCGAUUAGAAAAGAAAGAAGGAACGAUUACGAACGAAUGAAUUAACACACACUAAAACUCUCAACACACAAAUUAAACGUAGCAGCAUACGCGAACGCGAUUGAAUUACGAACGAUCGAAACAAAUGAACGAGAGAGAUUGCUGUUUGGGAAAAAAAAAAUUAUAAACGAUGAUUUAUAAAUUAAACGAUAAUAACGCGAAUUAUAUUAUUAUUAUUAGGGAAGAGAAGUGUUUUUGGAGAGAGAGAUUUAUAUAUAAAUUUCAAAAAUUAAACCUUACGCGAGUGUAUGUGUUUUGCGUGUGUCCAAAGUCGGUAAUUUUUGUUUGUUGUUGUUCUGGUUUGUUUGUUGGUUGUAAUUUGGUAGUUUUUUUUGGUUUUAUUUUUGUUGUUGUUGUUGUUGUUGGUUUUUUGGGUUUGUGUUGUUUUUUUGUGUUUUGUUUUGCUUUGCGUUGGUGUGUGUGCGUGCGUUGGUGUUUCGAUUGCAUUGAAGAAUAGAGGAGAAGAAGGAGAAGGACGAGGAUGAUGUAGGAAUCUUUUCUUGCAUUGUUUUCCCUCGUCUCAUAUGUCUCUUUUUUUUUUUUUUUUUCUUUCCUUUUGCAUUCUUACGUUAACGCAAUUUUUCAUCGCCAGCCUAAACUUUUUUUCAAAAAAACAACUACCAUUACCACUUCUACUACUACUACUAUUAUUACUAAAUUUACUACUUAAACUAUUUACUACUACUUACUUACUAUUUACUACUACUUACUACUACUUAUUACCGUUGCUCGGUAUCACGUAGCGCGUCCCCCGUAUUUUUUUUUUUUUGUUCUUUUUCUCUUCUUUCUCUCUUUCUUCUUUUUCCGUUUUAAUUAUUAUUUUUCGUUUCGUUUUUUUUUUUUUUAUUCGUUUUUUUCUUCCCUUAUUUUUUUUUUCUUUUUCUUCGGUCGCCGUAUUCGUCGUUUUGUUGUUGUUGUUGUUGUUGACGUUGUUGUUGAUGUUGUUGUUGUUGUUCUUCUUCAAUUAACUUUCUUUUAUUUUUUUUUUUAUUUCGUAAUGGAACUUUUCGUGUUGAAAACAAUAAAACUAAAGAGAAAAAAUUUCAAAAAAAAAAAAAUAUUUUUUUAUACAAAAAAACGAAUAAUGAAUGAAGAUAAUAAAAGAAAUAUAGAAUUGGGAAAAAAAACAAAAUAUAUAAUUAUUAAGAAAGAAAAAAAGAAACGAUCAAAACAAGAAAAAACAAAAAAAAAUCUGAUAUAGUCGAGACGAACGCGUUUUGGUAAAACGGAAUUCAAAACUUCGUGCCCUUCGUUCGAUUCCUCCGAGGGUGCUCUUUACCGAGUGUCCGAGGCGGCCGGUACGUUCACUUUGAAAAAAUUAGAGUGCUCAGAGCGAGCUUUGUUCGGCUUGCAUACGAUAAGCAUGGAAUGAUAGAAAAGGGCCUCGUCCACGUCUAUCGGUCUCCGUUUACGACGAGGCAAUGAUCGAAGGGAGCGGUCGGGGCCACUCGUAUUGCGACGUUAGAGGUGAAAUUCUUGGAUCGUCGCAAGACGCACUGCAGCGAUGGCGUGUGGCAAGCACGUUUUCCUCGAUCAAGAGCGAAAGUCGGAGGUUCGAAGACGAUCAGAUACCGUCGUAGUUCCGACCGUAAACGAUGCCGACUGGCGAUCCGCCGGCGUUCGCUUCGAUGACCCGGCGGGUAGCCUGCGGGAAACCAGAGUUGGUUCCGGGGGGAGUAUGGUUGCAAAAUCGAAACUUAAAGGAAUUGACGGAAGGGCACCACCAGGAGUGGAGCCUGCGGCUUAAUUUGACUCAACACGGGAAAACUCACCCGGUCCGGACACCGGUAGGAUUGACAGAUCGAUAGCUCUUUCUCGAUUCGGUGGGUGGUGGUGCAUGGCCGUUCUUAGUUGGUGGAGCGAUCCGUCUGGUUGAUUCCGAUAACGAACGAGACUCCGGCCUGCUAACUAGCGCGCCGAUUAGUGCUAGAUAUAUACAAUAUUACACCAGCAGCAUCAGCGUUUGUUCGCUUGGGCGUUGCCUGUGUUCGCGAUUGUUUGUGGUCUUUCUAAUUGCGUUUGCGUACACGUUUGUUAGCCCUCUUUGGUGUGAUUUCUACUUUGUUUUGUGUUUUUCAUCACAUUGUUGUUGUGUGGUUGGAAAUCAAUUUUUAAUCAAUUAUUUCUCCUCCUCUCGACAACUUCGUCGUGUAUAUAUAUCUAUCUAUUUCGACUGUCGCACACAGCACGUUUUACGCGCGUCGUCGUCGGUUCGUGUUUAUAUUAUAUUUAUACGUGUCUAUGUUGUUGUUGGUGUUGUGAUGUGUGAUAUUUUUUGUUAUUUUUUUUUCUUUUCUUCGCUCUCUCUGUGUGUGUGCUAUACACAUUUACUGGUAUUUCGCACUUUGUUCGCAUGCAACGCGCGUAUCGUUUUCGUAUAUUUUUUGGUACCUCCUACAAAUACGUGUGCGCGUGUGCGUACGUUCCGGUGUCGAGCGUGGUUGUGUUUGUGGUUGUGUAAAGGCGUAUAUACGCGGCCAGUCGGUUGCUUCCUGCGCUUCUUAGAGGGACGGGUGGCAGAAAGCCACACGAGGCGGAGCGAUAACAGGUCUGUGAUGCCCUUAGAUGUCCGGGGCUGCACGCGCGCUACACUGGAGAUAUCAGCGGGGACUACCACCCGGCCCGAAAGGGUUGGGAAACCUCUCAACCAUCUCCCGUGAUAGGGAUCGGGGCUUGUAAUUAACCCCGUGAACGAGGAAUUCCCGGUAGGCGCGGGUCAACAACCCGCGUCGAUCACGUCCCUGCCCUUUGUACACACCGCCCGUCGCUACUACCGAUCGAACGGUCCGGUGAGGUCCUCGGAUCUGGCCGACGACGCCGACACUGUCUUCUAUUACGUUCGUUGGCUAUAUUUUUUUUUUGGUUUCAUAAUUUGCUGCAUCAUUCCCCCAAAUUCAUUAGCAAGCAUCAUCAUCAUUAUCAUCAUCAUCGUCCUCCUAUUCAUUCCGUCGUCGUUGUCUUCUCCGUUUUAUCAUCAACUAGCUUAUUAUCAUCAGUAGUAGCAGCAUCAGCAUUGUUCACGUUCGUGUUAUAUAUUAUAUGUUUUGUCGACUAUUUUAACUACUGCUAAAAGACUUUGUGUGUACGACGAAAACGACCAUUGCUACUAGGAUUACGACGACGACUUCUCCGUCGCCGACGCUACCGCCGCCGUAGCUUUCAUUCGUCUCGACGUUUUGGUUGUUGUUGUGUCGUUGUGUCGUUGAGGUUGUUUGUCGUUGUCGUUGUCUUUGUCGCUGCUGUUGUUAUUUUUUUCUCGCGCAUUGUCCUUGUCGUUUUGUAGUCUUCAUUGGGUUUUUAUUUUUUUCGUCGUGUACUUCUUGUUGUUGUUGUUGUUGUUGUUGUUUAUGUUGUUGGUGGUUGUGUUGUUGAUGAUGAUGAUGGGUUUUUUGGGUUGGUGGUCGUCGUUUGUGUUGGUGUUAAUGGUGUUUUGUUGAUGUUUUGGUUUUGUGUUGUCGGUGUCGUUGUGUAGUCUUUUGUAAUUUGCCUUCCGUAUAAAGACGUCGUCGUCUGAUGGCCCGGAGAAGACGACCGAACCCGAUCGUUUAGAGGAAGUAAAAGUCGUAACAAGGUUUCCGUAGGUGAACCUGCGGAAGGAUCAUUA
rnacentral:rRNA from 1 species